GAAGAAAUAUUUUGAUUUCAUACUUUAGUUUUGCAAAAUUAUAUUCAGUUAUAGCUGUGAGGAAAAAAUCAUAAGAUGAACUAGGUCCUCCCAUGUUGCUAGAAAGGAUGAUGCAGAUUCAGGUAUGAAACUCUUGGUUUCUCGUGGUUAAGUUGAGGAUAAUAUCAACAAAUGCACUGUUAUGUCUUGUUAAGCUUUUUCUGUGUGACAAUUAUUUCUCUUCCACUUUCCCAUCUUUCUAGGUUAAGAUUGGUUAUUUUCAGGCUAUGCACAACUUUUUUACUAAUCAAGAUUAAUCGUAUAAACAACAUCGUGUUUUUGGUUGUUCGGGAAUCAGGCUCCUCUGAUAUUCUACGAGUGCUGCUGGGGUAUUAUAUCUUUACUAAAAUAUUGUAAUUGCAGUUUCAUCUAGUUUGGGAGUAUGUUAGCAAUUAUCAUUGUUACAGGUGGGUGGAUGUCUUCCAUAACAACAUUUGAGUAAUUAGGAAGUGUCGUUUCUGUACCCUCAACCUAAGUAUUAUUAUCUCCUACCGAGAGGAAUCAUGGGUGAGCUCAACAAAUUAGACGACAUCCAAAUAUGCUCUUUAUGAGAUUUACUUUUCAACACUGGAGCGAGGACACAAUCUUUCAGCUGUGCGGUUGUGGCAAUGUUGCACGAAAGAAGCGGACAAGCUGUUGGCAAUAUUCUUGUUUGUCAGACGAGAUCAAUCAAUCUUCAUUGAGAUGAUCAGUUCGUUGAGAUGAUCGGUUCUCUAAACGAUGGCAUCGUUCAGACAAAUGUGAAUUCCAUGAGCAGUAAUGGACGUGGAAAUUAAGAGCGAUGACUGAAUAUUUCUCUCAAGGCACUUUCAAUCCCCCUUGAGGGGUAAUAUUUGUUAUUGCACAAAAUUUAAAUUCUCAUUCAAGUUUGGUGACAAGUUAAUUUCCGUUCUUGUAUGAGGAAUACAACACAUAUAUAUGGGAUUUGGAUUCUCUAGUUCUUGUAGUAUCUGCAGUUCUUCAUUGAUAUCAAAAGGUGUUUUAUCUUUCAUUUUUGGUUUA